rnacentral:tRNA from 1 species
CGGCACCAUCGAACAGGCCCGCGUAGCCGGCACCGUCGCUGCUGGCGAUGGGCACGAAACCGGCGCCCUGGUUCCAGUUCAGCGUGCCGC